rnacentral:rRNA from 1 species
UACGUAGGGUGCGAGCGUUAAUCGGAAUUACUGGGCGUAAAGCGUGCGCAGGCGGUGAUGUAAGACAGAUGUGAAAUCCCCGGGCUCAACCUGGGAACUGCAUUUGUGACUGCAUCGCUGGAGUGCGGCAGAGGGGGAUGGAAUUCCGCGUGUAGCAGUGAAAUGCGUAGAUAUCUGGAGGAACACCGAUGGCGAAGGCAGCCCCCUGGGCUAACACUGACGCUCAUGCACGAAAGCGUGGGGAGCAAACAGG